rnacentral:rRNA from 1 species
GAUGAACGCUGGCGGCGUGCCUAAUACAUGCAAGUCGAGCGAACAGACGAGGAGCUUGCUCCUCUGACGUUAGCGGCGGACGGGUGAGUAACACGUGGAUAACCUACCUAUAAGACUGGGAUAACUUCGGGAAACCGGAGUUAAUACCGGAUAAUAUAUUGAACCGCAUGGUUCAAUAGUGAAAGACGGUUUUGCUGUCACUUAUAGAUGGAUCCGCGCCGCAUUAGCUAGUUGGUAAGGUAACGGCUUACCAAGGCAACGAUGCGUAGCCGACCUGAGAGGGUGAUCGGCCACACUGGAACUGAGACGCGGUCCAGACUCCUACGGGAGGCAGCAGUAGGGAAUCUUCCGCAAUGGGCGAAAGCCUGACGGAGCAACGCCGCGUGAGUGAUGAAGGUCUUCGGAUCGUAAAACUCUGUUAUUAGGGAAGAACAAAUGUGUAAGUAACUAUGCACGUCUUGACGGUACCUAAUCAGAAAGCCACGGCUAACUACGUG